rnacentral:rRNA from 1 species
GUGCCAGCCGCCGCGGUAAUACGUAGGGUGCGAGCGUUAAUCGGAAUUACUGGGCGUAAAGCGUGCGCAGGCGGUUUGUUAAGACAGUUGUGAAAUCCCCGGGCUCAACCUGGGAACUGCAAUUGUGACUGGCAGGCUAGAGUUUGGCAGAGGGGGGUGGAAUUCCUGGUGUAGCAGUGAAAUGCGUAGAUAUCAGGAGGAACACCGAUGGCGAAGGCAGCCCCCUGGGCCAUGACUGACGCUCAUGCACGAAAGCGUGGGGAGCAAACAGGAUUAGAAACCCCUGUAGUCC